AUGGGGCGCUGGAGAGAGGAGCAGCAGCAAAGGAGGCAAGGAAGUAGAGCAGCAGUAAGUGGAGAAGAUCAGCAGCAAGGGGGCGCAAGGAGAGAGGAAGAGGAACAGCAGGGGAAGAAGAAAUUGGGAAAGCAGCAGGGAGAGGCGCGCCGGCUGGAGGGAGAGGUCGCGCGAGGUGUGGUGGUGAAUGGAUGGCGCAGGUGGUGGAUGGAGGCGUUAGUGGCGCGCUGGGGUGCGGUGGUGCUGGUGAUGGAUGGCUGGAUGGGUGGCGGAGGCGCACCACCACGCCGGCCUGGCCAUGGCGGCGGCCGGAGGUGGAGAAGGAGGGGUGAGGGAGAGAGAUGGAGAUGCCAGGCCCGGUUUGGGAAUGGAGGCUGCUAG
rnacentral:rRNA from 1 species